rnacentral:rRNA from 1 species
AACGAACGCUGGCGGCAGGCCUAACACAUGCAAGUCGAGCGGACCUUUCGGGGUCAGCGGCGGACGGGUGAUUAACGCGUGGGAAUAUGCCCUUCUCUACGGAAUAGUCCUGGGAAACUGGGGGUAAUACCGUAUACGCCCUUUGGGGGAAAGAUUUAUCGGGGAAGGAUUAGCCCGCGUUGGAUUAGGUAGUUGGUGGGGUAAUGGCCUACCAAGCCGACGAUCCAUAGCUGGUUUGAGAGGAUGAUCAGCCACACUGGGACUGAGACACGGCCCAGACUCCUACGGGAGGCAGCAGUGGGGAAUCUUAGACAAUGGGGGCAACCCUGAUCUAGCCAUGCCGCGUGAGUGAUGAAGGCCUUAGGGUUGUAAAGCUCUUUCAGCUGGGAAGAUAAUGACGGUACCAGCAGAAGAAGCCCCGGCUAACUCCGUG